rnacentral:rRNA from 1 species
CAGCAGCCGCGGUAAAACCGAGGGUGCAAGCGUUAAUCGGAAUUACUGGGCGUAAAGCGCGCGUAGGUGGUUUGUUAAGUUGGAUGUGAAAUCCCCGGGCUCAACCUGGGAACUGCAUCCAAAACUGGCAGGCUAGAGUAGGGCAGAGGGUGGUGGAAUUUCCUGUGUAGCGGUGAAAUGCGUAGAUAUAGGAAGGAACACCAGUGGCGAAGGCGACCACCUGGGCUCAUACUGACACUGAGGUGCGAAAGCGUGGGGAGCAAACAGGAUUAGAUACCCCUGUAGUCCCUGUCUCUUAUAC